CUGCACAAGCCCUGACCAGGGCCCAGACCAGGGAGGAGCCUGCAACCAAGCUUAGGGCGUCUCUGGCAUCCUCAUGGGUUUUGACAAAUUAGUUUGGAAUUCCCAGAAACGGUUUCCAAAACUAGAAGUGCCAUGUGGAGAGGAACAGCUGCACCCGAGGACCAGAGCCUUGUGCUCAGACUCUGACAUACACUCAGUUUUAACCUGUUUCUUCAUAAAUGGGGACAAUAACCACGGAGCUGCCCUGAGGACACAAAGAGAAGGUGAGAAGGCGGAGGCUCCAGUGUUUCCGUCGCUUGCUUACGGCCAAUAGUAACAGUUGGACCAGGAGUUCAAGUCCACAUGGACUGAUUCCAGGCCCCUGUGCUUAGUACUGUGUCCUUCGGAACAUCUGAGGCUGAAGAGGGAUGCUGGGCACGGCCCAGAGACUCAGCUGUCAGCCAAUUUGGGCUCUAGGUUACAUGCCAAAUAAUAAACCUCAUGCAGAUGCCAACCCUCAGUGCCUUUUCACUCUUUUUUUUUUUUUUUACAUUCUUCUUUAACUCUCUACCUAAGGCAUUAAAAUAUGUAUCUUCAGAACCAAGAAACUAAAAAGUCCAAAAAGAAAAGGUCAUAUUUUGAAAUAUCAAACUGACAUUGUAACUCCAAACUCUUGACGGACUAGCCAGUGCUCACAAGAGGAAGGGCAGAGGGGGAGCAGCAGUGAGCGGAGCCCCC